UGGGGAAUAUUGCACAAUGGGCGCAAGCCUGAUGCAGCCAUGCCGCGUGUAUGAAGAAGGCCUUCGGGUUGUAAAGUACUUUCAGCGGGGAGGAAGGGAGUAAAGUUAAUACCUUUGCUCAUUGACGUUACCCGCAGAAGAAGCACCGGCUAACUCCGUGCCAGCAGCCGCGGUAAUACGGAGGGUGCAAGCGUUAAUCGGAAUUACUGGGCGUAAAGCGCACGCAGGCGGUUUGUUAAGUCAGAUGUGAAAUCCCCGGGCUCAACCUGGGAACUGCAUCUGAUACUGGCAAGCUUGAGUCUCGUAGAGGGGGGUAGAAUUCCAGGUGUAGCGGUGAAAUGCGUAGAGAUCUGGAGGAAUACCGGUGGCGAAGGCGGCCCCCUGGACGAAGACUGACGCGCAGGUGCGAAAGCGUGGGGAGCAAACA
rnacentral:rRNA from 1 species